rnacentral:rRNA from 1 species
GUAGUCUCGCACAGAUGCAUAUCAAUAAGCGGAGGAAAAGAAACUAACAAGGAUUCCCUCAGUAACGGCGAGUGAAGCGGGAAGAGCUCAAAUUUGAAAUCUUCAAGGUUUUACCUUGACGAAUUGUAGUUUAAAGAAGUGUUUUCUGUUGAAGUUUUGGUAAAAGUUCUUUGGAAUAGGACAUCAUAGAGGGUGAGAAUCCCGUAUUUGACCAUUAUUUUCAGCUGUGUGAUACACUUUCAAAGAGUCGGAUUGUUUGGGAAUGCAGUCCAAAAUGGGUGGUAAAUUUCAUCUAAGCUAAAUAUUGGCGAGAGACCGAUAGCGAACAAGUACCGUGAGGGAAAGAUGAAAAGAACUUUGAAAAGAGAGUUAAACAGUACGUGAAAUUGUCAAAGGGCAGCGUUUGACACCAGUGUUGUUUUCUCGAAAAUCAAUUAAAAAGAGUUAGAUUUUGUUGUGUAUUGACCUUAACAGCUUGCAUUUCAAUUUUCUUGCUUUUUUUAAUGCACUUUUCGUUUAACAAGUCAACAUCAGUUUCUUUUGUUGUAAAAAGGUCAUUGGAAGGUGGCUUUCUUUUCGGAGAAAGUGUUUAUAGCCUUUGACUCCUGCAAUCGGAGAGACUGAGGUCUGCAGCGUAGAUCCUUCGGGGUUAGAUACAUUUGUGCUAAGUUAUAGCUUUUUAUAGACAACUUGUUGACUAUGAUUAGUCUUGUAGCUUACUCGCUUAUGCUAUUUUACCUACGCUUAGGAUGUUGAAGAUGUAGCACAUCAU